ensembl:lncRNA
GUGGUGAGCACGACUGCACAUACCACACUAGUCAUCAGGAUCUAAUACACUCAGCUGCUCAAAAUACAUGAUUUCGUCAUGCUAAUGGCAGGCCUGUUCAGCCCAGGCUAGUAAUCAAUACCCCGUAUUUAAGGCCUGCUAAGAGAUCAAACAUAAAAUGCUCUAAAUCACGACAUCGCCCUUCCCUUUGCUCAGUUUCUCCCUUUGAGCGAUCAAACAGCUUGGAAUCCUUUGACUAUAUCUUAAAGUUUGGGCUUCCCUGGUGGCUCAGAUGGUAAAGAAUCUGCCUGCAAUGCAGGAGACCCGAGUUCAAUCCCUAGGUUGGGGAAGAUCCCCUGGAAAAGGAAAUGGCACCCCACUCUAGGAUUCUCACCUGGGAAAUCCCAUGGACAGAAGAGCCUGGUGGGCUAUAGUCCGUGGUGUCGCAAAGAGUCGGGCAUGACUGAGUGACUAAGCAUGACUUGCACGCAUCUUAGUGUCUGAGUUGUAAAUAUAUAACACUUAAUUUCUUGUAAGUUUUAAUUUUUUUUUAAAUGAAGGGGAAUACUCUGCAAAUAUAGAAGUAAUAGAUUUUCGUUGCUAAAAGUUUAGGACCUAAGCACUAAAAGGAAUAAACUGUGUUACCCUUCCACCUUCCUGAGGUUGAGAAUUGCAGUGUCAGGGGAGACACACACACACACACACACACACACACACGCGCGCACACACACACACACACACAUGCCACUGAAUUAAAACAAACGAAACAGCCCAUUUUAAAGGAAUUUGUACUCCUCCGAUUAUGACAAAGAUGGGACGCUUUUGCACUGGAUAUUGCAAAUUGUAUGUGUUUAUUUUCCUAUAUUUCCCUGUUCUUCUCUGUGUAGGGCUGUGUAGAAGUGAACACAGGAUGUUCACAUCUGUGAAGGCAACAGAAACGUCAUUCCAAAUUGCAAUGGAGACAGAGAGCAUCCGGUCGGGGCAGUGUGAAAAAGGAGGAGAGAAGCACCUGAGGAAUGACACACAGCUGCAACAGAAACCUCUCAAUGCAACGUCCUUGCCUCAUUCAGUCUUUAUGGAGAUCAUACCCUGGUCUUUGCUAGUGGCUCAGCGAUCAAGAAUCUGCCUGCCAAUGUAGGAGACGUGGGUUCGAUCCCUGGGUUGGGAAGAUCCCCUGGAGAAGCAAACAGCAACCCACUCCAGUAUUCUUGCCUGGGAAAUUUCCUGGACAGGGAGGCCUGGCGUGCUGCAGUCCGUGGGGUCACAAAGAGUUGGACAGGGCUGAGCGACUAAACCACAACAACAACCCUAUUCUUAAGAAUCGACUCUUCUCCGCCAAGUGCUAUCUGUUUGAAGGAAAUGAGGCAUAGGUUUUAUUUUUUUUCCCAGAACUCGUUGUUAGCAUUUCUGAAAUUAUUGGACGUCCCCAUGCCGGCCAGAUUCCUUUAGGCUUCUGUAAUGACAGCUGUGAAAAUUCGGCUAUGGGCGUACACAGUGCUAUCAAGAAUUAAAUAAGACAGGCUCUCUGUUGACAGACUGUUCACCCACUCCAGUGGACUUAAGUAUCUUGAUGCUUCUUCUGUGCCAUCUGCUAGAAAUGAGAAAAUCUGGACAUCUAAUAUUAUUAGCUUUGCCAUCAACUAACAGGGAUUUGAACAGGGGGAGUCCAGGGUCAGCAUCACCACUGCAAAGCAUGACUGCUUUGCCGGAUGACAAAGGGAAAAAAACAUUAAAGGUAAUUAAUUACCGUGGGUAGUUUAGUCCAUUUGUUUAACCUUCAGAUUCACUGUUUGGAAAAUGAGGUAACUGCAUCGAUUCUCUUUAGAGACUCUGAAAUGACUUUUUUUGGUUAAGAUUUUAAAUUAAAUUUUCGGAUACUGGAUGGCUAUCUCAGGAAAAAAAAAAACAACUAACCGAGAGAUGUCAGUCAACAACUGCAGUGCUACACUGUAGCUAAGUUUUAUCCAGGGAUAUUUGCUCAGAAAGUAACGUUUUUCAGGAAUGUACAUAAACCAAAGAUGAUAUUUUUUUAAAUUAACAUUAUCACCAUUUUUCUUCUUCUUCUCCUAAGGUGCUUUACUGUGGAAAGCAGCUACAGAAUUCGCCUGUGUUGCGCUUAGGUGUUUUGACCCCACUCA